GCAGCAGUGAGGAAUAUUGCUCAAUGGACGAAAGUCUGAAGCAGCAACGCCGCGUGAGGGAUGAAGGUGCUCUGCAUUGUAAACCUCUGUAGUCGGGGACAAAAAACAGGUUAUUACCUGUCUGAUGGUACCCGAAAAGUAAGGAUCGGCUAACUACGUGCCAGCAGCCGCGGUAAUACGUAGGAUCCAAGCGUUGUCCGGAUUUACUGGGUGUAAAGGGUGCGCAGGCGGACUUGUUAGUCAGAGGUGAAAUCUCACUGCUCAACAGUGAAACUGCCUUUGAUACUGCAGGUCUUGAAUCCAGAAGAGAGUUGUGGAAUUCCGAGUGUAGCAGUGAAAUGUGUAGAUAUUCGGAAGAACACCAGCGGCGAAGGCAGCAACUUGGUCUGGUAUUGACGCUCAGGCACGAAAGCAUGGGGAUCAAACAGGAUUAGAUAC
rnacentral:rRNA from 1 species